GGCUCAGGAUGAACGCUGGCGGUAUGCUUAACACAUGCAAGUCGAACGGAAUCUUUAGGGAUUUAGUGGCGGACGGGUGAGUAACGCGUGAGAAUUUGGCUUCAGGUCGGGGACAACCACUGGAAACGGUGGCUAAUACCGGAUAUGCCGGAAGGUGAAAGGCUUGCUGCCUGAAGAUAAGCUCGCGUCUGAUUAGCUAGUUGGUGGGGUAAGAGCCUACCAAGGCGACGAUCAGUAGCUGGUCUGAGAGGAUGAUCAGCCACACUGGGACUGAGACACGGCCCAGACUCCUACGGGAGGCAGCAGUGGGGAAUUUUCCGCAAUGGGCGAAAGCCUGACGGAGCAAUACCGCGUGAGGGAGGAAGGCUCUUGGGUCGUAAACCUCUUUUCUCAGGGAAGAAAAAAAUGACGGUACCUGAGGAAUAAGCAUCGGCUAACUCCGUGCCAGCAGCCGCGGUAAUACGGAGGAUGCAAGCGUUAUCCGGAAUGAUUGGGCGUAAAGGGUCCGCAGGUGGUACUGUAAGUCUGCUGUUAAAGAGCAAGGCUCAACCUUGUAAAAGCGGUGGAAACUACAGAACUAGAGUGCGUUCGGGGCAGAAGGAAUUCCUGGUGUAGCGGUGAAAUGCGUAGAUAUCAGGAAGAACACCGGUGGCGAAAGCGUUCUGCUAGGCCGCAACUGACACUGAGGGACGAAAGCUAGGGGAGCGAAUGGGAUUAGAUACCCCAGUAGUCCUAGCCGUAAACGAUGGAUACUAGGCGUGGCUUGUAUCGACCCGAGCCGUGCCGGAGCUAACGCGUUAAGUAUCCCGCCUGGGGAGUACGCACGCAGUGUGAAACUC
rnacentral:rRNA from 1 species